rnacentral:rRNA from 1 species
GACGAACGCUGGCGGCGUGCCUAAUACAUGCAAGUCGAGCGAAUCACUGGGAGCUUGCUCCUGGUGGUUAGCGGCGGACGGGUGAGUAACACGUGGGCAACCUGCCUGUAAGACUGGGAUAACACCGGGAAACCGGUGCUAAUACCGGAUAAUCCUUUCCCUCUCAUGAGGGAAAGCUGAAAGUCGGUUUCGGCUGACACUUACAGAUGGGCCCGCGGCGCAUUAGCUAGUUGGUGAGGUAACGGCUCACCAAGGCGACGAUGCGUAGCCGACCGGGGAGGGUGAUCGGCCACACUGGGACGGAGACACGGCCCAGACUCCUACGGGAGGCAGCAGUAGGGAAUCUUCCACAAUGGACGAAAGUCUGAUGGAGCAACGCCGCGUGAGCGAUGAAGGCCUUCGGGUCGUAAAGCUCUGUUGUUAGGGAAGAACAAGUACCGGAGUAACUGCCGGUACCUUGACGGUACCUAACCAGAAAGCCACGGCUAACUACGUGCCAGCCGCCGCCGUAAGAC